rnacentral:rRNA from 1 species
AACGAACGCUGGCGGCAUGCCUAACACAUGCAAGUCGAACGAGACCUUCGGGUCUAGUGGCGCACGGGUGCGUAACGCGUGGGAACCUGCCCUUAGGUUCGGAAUAACUCCCCGAAAGGGGUGCUAAUACCGGAUAAUGUCUUCGGACCCAAGAUUUAUCGUCUUUGGAUGGGCCCGCGUUGGAUUAGCUAGUUGGUAGGGUAAAAGCCUACCAAGGCGACGAUACAUAGCUGGUCUGAGAGGAUGAUCAGCCACACUGGGACUGAGACACGGCCCAGACUCCUACGGGAGGCAGCAGUGGGGAAUAUUGGACAAUGGGCGAAAGCCUGAUCCAGCAAUGCCGCGUGAGUGAUGAAGGCCUUAGGGUUGUAAAGCUCUUUUACCCGGGAUGAUAAUGACAGUACCGGGAGAAUAAGCUCCGGCUAACUCCGUG